rnacentral:rRNA from 1 species
GAGUUUGAUCCUGGCUCAGGACGAACGCUGGCGGCGUGCCUAAUACAUGCAAGUCGAACGCACGAAGUUGAAGAGCUUGCUCUUUAACCAAGUGAGUGGCGGACGGGUGAGUAACACGUGGGUAACCUGCCCAUUAGAGGGGGAUAACAUUCGGAAACGGAUGCUAAUACCGCAUAGUUUCAGGAAUCGCAUGAUUCUUGAAGGAAAGGUGGCUUCGGCUACCACUAAUGGAUGGACCCGCGGCGUAUUAGCUAGUUGGUGAGGUAAUGGCUCACCAAGGCAAUGAUACGUAGCCGACCUGAGAGGGUGAUCGGCCACACUGGGACUGAGACACGGCCCAGACUCCUACGGGAGGCAGCAGUAGGGAAUCCUCCGCAAUGGACGAAAGUCUGACGGAGCAACGCCGCGUGAGUGAAGAAGGUUUUCGGAUCGUAAAACUCUGUUGUUAAAGAAGAACAAGGAUGAGAGUAACUGCUCAUCCCCUGACGGUAUUUAACCAGAAAGCCACGGCUAACUACGUGCCAGCAGCCGCGGUAAUACGUAGGUGGCAAGCGUUGUCCGGAUUUAUUGGGCGUAAAGCGAGCGCAGGCGGUUCUUUAAGUCUGAUGUGAAAGCCCCCGGCUCAACCGGGGAGGGUCAUUGGAAACUGGAGAACUUGAGUGCAGAAGAGGAGAGUGGAAUUCCACGUGUAGCGGUGAAAUGCGUAGAUAUGUGGAGGAACACCAGUGGCGAAGGCGACUCUCUGGUCUGUAACUGACGCUGAGGCUCGAAAGCGUGGGGAGCAAACAGGAUUAGAUAC